rnacentral:misc_RNA from 1 species
GAUGAAGAACGUAGCGAAAUGCGAUAAGUAAUGUGAAUUGCAGAAUUCAGUGAAUCAUCGAAUCUUUGAACGCACAUUGCGCCCGCCAGCAUUCUGGCGGGCAUGCCUGUUCGAGCGUCAUUUCAACCCUCGAGCCCCCCCGGGGGCCUCGGUGUUGGGGGACGGCACACCAGCCGCCCCCGAAAUGCAGUGGCGACCCCGCCGCAGCCUCCCCUGCGUAGUAGCACACACCUCGCACCGGAGCGCGGAGGCGGUCACGCCGUAAAACGCCCAACUUUCUUAGAGUUGACCUCGGAUCAGGUAGGAAUACCCGCUGAACUUAAGCAUAUCAAUAAGCAGAGCA